UACGUAGGUGGCGAGCGUUGUCCGGAUUUACUGGGCGUAGAGAGCGCGCAGGCGGUCGUGCAAGUCGCGUGUGAAAGCCCCCGGCUCAACUGGGGAGGGUCACGCGAUACUGCUCGACUCGAAGGCAGGAGAGGCAGGUGGAAUUCCGGGUGUAGCGGUGGAAUGCGUAGAGAUCCGGAAGAACACCGGUGGCGAAGGCGGCCUGCUGGGCAGUUGCUGACACUGAUGCGCGACAGCGUGGGGAGCAAACAGG
rnacentral:rRNA from 1 species